rnacentral:rRNA from 1 species
AGAGUUUGAUCCUGGCUCAGAUUGAACGCUGGCGGCAUGCUUUACACAUGCAAGUCGAACGGGGUGCGGGGGCAACUUCGCAUUCAGUGGCGAACGGGUGAGUAAUAUAUCGGAACGUACCCUGUAGCGGGGGAUAACGCGUCGAAAGAUGUGCUAAUACCGCAUACGCUCUACUGAGGAAAGCGGAGGACCGCAAGGCUUCGCACUACAGGAGCGGCCGAUACCGGAUUAGCUAGUUGGCGGGGUAAUGGCCCACCAAGGCAACGAUCCGUAGCUGGUCUGAGAGGACGAUCAGCCACACUGGAACUGACACACGGUCCAGACUCCUACGGGAGGCAGCAGUGGGGAAUUUUGGACAAUGGGCGCAAGCCUGAUCCAGCCAUGCCGCGUGAGUGAAGAAGGCCUUCGGGUUGUAAAGCUCUUUCGGCGGGGACGAAACGGUUCGUGCCAAUACCACGGACUAAUGACGGUACCCGAAGAAGAAGCACCGGCUAACUACGUGCCAGCAGCCGCGGUAAUACGUAGGGUGCAGGCGUUAAUCGGAAUUACUGGGCGUAAAGCGUGCGCAGGCGGUUUGUUAAGACAGGUGUGAAAUCCCCGGGCUUAACCUGGGAACUGCGCUUGUAACUGGCAGACUCGAGUGUGGCAGAGGGGGGUGGAAUUCCAGGUGUAGCAGUGAAAUGCGUAGAGAUCGUGAGGAAGACCAGUGGCGAAGGCGGGUCUCUGGACAGUUCCUGACACUGAGGCACGAAGGCCAGGGGAGCAAACGGGAUUAGAUACCCCGGUAGUCCUGGCAGUAAACGGUGCACGUUUGGUGUGGGAGGAUUCGACCCCUUCUGCGCCGGAGCUAACGCGUUAAACGUGCCGCCUGGGGAGUACGGUCGCAAGAUUAAAACUCAAAGAAAUUGACGGGGGCCCGCACAAGCGGUGGAGUAUGUGGCUUAAUUCGAUGCAACGCGAAGAACCUUACCUGGCCUUGACAUGCAUCUCUAAGUUGGUGAAAGCCAGCGAGUCCCGAAAGGGACAAUUUGCACAGGUGCUGCAUGGCUGUCGUCAGCUCGUGUCGUGAGAUGUUGGGUUAAGUCCCGCAACGAGCGCAACCCCUGUGAACUGUUGCCACUCCCUUGAUUGGGAAGCACUCUGUUCAGACUGCCCUGUGAAACGGGGAGGAAGGUGGGGACGACGUCAAGUCAGUAUGGCCCUUACGGCCAGGGCUGCACACGUACUACAAUGCCCAGUACAGAACGAUCCGAGACCGCAAGGUGGAGGAAAUCCAGUAAAACUGGGCUCAGUUCGGAUUGAGGUCUGCAACUCGACCUCAUGAAGCCGGAAUCGCUAGUAAUGGCGUAUCAGCUACGACGCCGUGAAUACGUUCCCGGGCCUUGUACACACCGCCCGUCACAUCAUGGAAGUCACUUGUAGCCGAAGUCGGUGCGCUAACCAGCAAUGGAAGCAGCCGCCUACGCUAUGAGUGGUAACUGGGAUGAAGUCGUAACAAGGUAGCCG